AAAUAACCAGGUAAACAUUCUAACAUAGACUUUUCUUUGCAUGUGAUAUGCAUUUUGUAAAUUAAAUCAGAUUCGUUGGCUACAAAUGUACAAGUAAGAAUAAUAUUUACGUCUUUUUUUUAAAUUUCAAUAUACUUAACAAAUAUAUGCACAGUCGAAUUAUUACAGUCAGAUUGACAGUUUACAAUAUAUGACAUUAAAUAACAUUGUGGAAGAAGUCAUUCCUUAGAAUAUGAGACGGAGGUCUAUUACAGACAGUUCAACUGUAAAAAUCAACAUCCCAGCAGAUGAUUCGAAACCGGAACCACUACACGAGGGUGAGAUUUUUGAAACCCACAGAGAUAGUUCAGAUCAAUUGAACAAACUGGUUGAAGACGAUUCAUCUCCAGAUCAUAGUGCAACAGGAAGUGAUUUAUUACUAACAAAAGGCACCGGACAGAUAGACAAAGAAAGUUUUCAUUCUACCAAAAAAUGGAUUAUCAAAUAUGUAAUUCUCCCAUCGUUGAUAUGUGUGAUUCUGUUAAUACUCUUUGUAUAUGUACUUUAUACUAUGAAAACAGAUAGUCAUGUUCAUGAAGGCCACAACCAAUCAAAGAAAAAUGUCACUCAAAGUGCACAUAUGAACACAGUUUAGAGGUUAAACUAAAGUGUCGUGUUAAAUACGUUAUUACUCAGAAAAAUGGAAAUAUAUCAUGACCGUAUGUCAGAGCAAGGCAGUUUUGUCCUCCAGAAUCCGAAUACCAGUGUGACAAUUAAAAAGCAGACUAGAAUUACAGAUGUGUGUUCCUUGAAUAGACGUUAAUGAAAAGUGCACUAAGUUGUCAAAUAUGAAGACUAAUGAAGAAACACGUGUUGUACUUUUAACAGGAACAAUUCAAAUGAUCUUUAAUUCUGGACAGUUAUGUUUGUGUACAAUGUAUAGUAUUGCCGAUGAAAAUAGUCCAAUGUGUUAUGCCAGAAAAAAAUAAUUUUAUUGUAUUUCACAUUC